CAGCCGCCACGGGAACACGAAGGGGGCUAGCGUUGUUCGGAAUUACUGGGCGUAAAGCGCACGUAGGCGGAUAUUUAAGUCAGGGGUGAAAUCCCAGAGCUCAACUCUGGAACUGCCUUUGAUACUGGGUAUCUUGAGUAUGGAAGAGGUGAGUGGAAUUCCGAGUGUAGAGGUGAAAUUCGUAGAUAUUCGGAGGAACACCAGUGGCGAAGGCGGCUCACUGGUCCAUUACUGACGCUGAGGUGCGAAAGCGUGGGGAGCAAACAGGAUUAGAUACCCCGGUAGUCCCUGUCUCUUAUAC
rnacentral:rRNA from 1 species